rnacentral:rRNA from 1 species
UACGUAGGGUGCAAGCGUUGUCCGGAAUUAUUGGGCGUAAAGAGCUCGUAGGCGGUUUGUCGCGUCUGCUGUGAAAACCCGAGGCUCAACCUCGGGCCUGCAGUGGGUACGGGCAGACUAGAGUGCGGUAGGGGAGAUUGGAAUUCCUGGUGUAGCGGUGGAAUGCGCAGAUAUCAGGAGGAACACCAAUGGCGAAGGCAGCUCGCUGGGACGUUACUGACGCUGAGACGCGAAAGCGUGGGGAGCAAACAGG